rnacentral:rRNA from 1 species
GAACGUCCACUGUCUUCGGGCAGAGGGAGUGGCGGACGGGUGAGGAACACGUGGGUGACCUACCCCCGGUGAGGAAUACCGCCGAGAAAUCGGCGACAAGACCGCAUAGGCUUUCCUUCUCGAAGGGAAGCAAAGCUUCUAUUCGCAAGAGUGGAGGCGCCAGGGGAUGGGCCUGCGCCCGAUUAGCUGGUUGGUGGGGUAAGAGCUCACCAAGGCGACGAUCGGUAGCUGGUCUGAGAGGAUGAGCAGCCACACUGGGAUUGAGAACGGCCCAGACUCCUACGGGAGGCAGCAGUGAGGAAUUUUCCACAAUGGGGGCAACCCUGAUGGAGCAACGCCGCGUGCAGGAAGACGCGUUUCGGCGUGUAAACUGCUUUUCCCAGGGACGAGAUUGGACGGUACCUGGGGAAUCAGCCCCGGCUAACUACGUG